rnacentral:lncRNA from 1 species
CAACAAAGCUGAUCUAGAUAAAGACUGCUGUUCCCAACCAAGACUGUUAUGACCCAAAGUAACAGAGCUGAGUGGCUCCAUGCAGAAGUCUGUGUUCAACAUCUGUCAUGCUGGAGAUCAUUAAUGUUCAAUUGCUUCCUAUUGUCUUCAUGUCAUUCAACUUCAUUUCAUUGUCAUUGCUUCAGCUGGGGGAUUAAUCAACUAUUUAUGAGAAGACAGGACUUGGAGUCAGGGCGGUCACAAUGGGGUUAUAGUCUGAGCAAUGGUGGGGAAAGCAAGUCACGGUUAAAAGACUACUAGUUUGUG